rnacentral:rRNA from 1 species
GCUCACUGAUAAUUUAAAGAGCCGCAGUAUCCUAACUGUGCUAAGGUAGCAUAAUCAUUAGUCUUUUAAUUGGAGACUGGUAUGAAUGGCUUAACGAGAAAUUGACUUUUUUUGCUAUUAUAAUUGAAUUUAAUUUUUUAGUGAAAAAGCUAAAAUGUUUCAGAAAGACGAGAAGACCCUAUAGAGUUUUAUAUAAAUUUAUAUCUUUUCUUAAUAGAUUUAAAAAGAAUAAGUAUAAAUAAGUAUUUUGUUGGGGCGACAUUAAGAUAAAUAAAACUCUUUAUUUUUUAAAUUUUUAUGAAAAUAUUUAUGAUCCUUUAAAAGAGAUCAAAAGAAAAAAUUACCUUAGGGAUAACAGCGUAAUCUUUUUUUAGAGUUCUAAUCGACAAAAAGGUUUGCGACCUCGAUGUUGGACUAAAAUUUAGGCAGGGUGCAGCAGUUCUGCUUUUAGGUCUGUUCGACCUAUAAUA